AUUAUAUUGGCAGAAUAAUGCAUUAGAAUUAGAAUCUAAUUACCUAUUCAUUA
rnacentral:tRNA from 1 species